rnacentral:rRNA from 1 species
UACAGAGGUUGCGAGCGUUAAUCGGAAUCACUGGGCGUAAAGCGCUCGUAGGCUGUUACUUAAGUCAGAUGUGAAAUCCCUGGGCUCAAUCCAGGACGUGCAUCUGAUACUGAUUGGCUAGAGUGCAGGAGAGGAAAGCGGAAUUCCAGGUGUAGAGGUGAAAUUCGUAGAUAUCUGGAGGAACAACAGAGGCGAAGGCGGCUUUCUGGACUGUCACUGACGCUGAUGAGCGAAAGCGUGGGGAGCAAACAGG